CGGGGGGCAGCAGUGGGGAAUUUUGGACAAUGGACGCAAGUCUGAUCCAGCCAUUCCGCGUGCAGGACGAAGGCCUUCGGGUUGUAAACUGCUUUUGUACGGAACGAAAAAGCCUUGGCUAAUACCCGGGGUCCAUGACGGUACCGUAAGAAUAAGCACCGGCUAACUACGUGCCAGCAGCCGCGGUAAUACGUAGGGUGCGAGCGUUAAUCGGAAUUACUGGGCGUAAAGCGUGCGCAGGCGGUUAUAUAAGACAGAUGUGAAAUCCCCGGGCUCAACCUGGGAACUGCAUUUGUGACUGUAUAGCUAGAGUACGGUAGAGGGGGAUGGAAUUCCGCGUGUAGCAGUGAAAUGCGUAGAUAUGCGGAGGAACACCGAUGGCGAAGGCAAUCCCCUGGACCUGUACUGACGCUCAUGCACGAAAGCGUGGGGAGCAAACAGGAUUAGAUACCCGAGU
rnacentral:rRNA from 1 species